rnacentral:tRNA from 1 species
GGAGAGGUACCGAAGCGGUCAUAACGGCGCCGACUCGAAAUCGGAUGGGGCUCUUUUCGGGCCCACGCGGGUUCGAAUCCCGCCCUCUCCG